ACGCUGGCGGCAGGCCUAACACAUGCAAGUCGAGCGGCAGCGGGAAGUAGUUUACUACUUUGCCGGCGAGCGGCGGACGGGUGAGUAAUGUCUGGGGAUCUGCCUGAUGGAGGGGGAUAACUACUGGAAACGGUAGCUAAUACCGCAUGACCUCGCAAGAGCAAAGUGGGGGACCUUAGGGCCUCACGCCAUCGGAUGAACCCAGAUGGGAUUAGCUAGUAG
rnacentral:rRNA from 1 species